GACGAACGCUGGCGGCGUGCUUAACACAUGCAAGUCGAGCGGUAAGGCCCUUUCGGGGGUACACGAGCGGCGAACGGGUGAGUAACACGUGGGUGACCUGCCCUCAGCUCUGGGAUAAGCCCGGGAAACUGGGUCUAAUACCGGAUAUGACUCCAUGACGCAUGUUGUGGGGUGGAAAGCCUUGUGCGGCUGAGGAUGGGCCCGCGGCCUAUCAGCUUGUUGGUGGGGUGAUGGCCUACCAAGGCGACGACGGGUAGCCGGCCUGAGAGGGCGACCGGCCACACUGGGACUGAGAUACGGCCCAGACUCCUACGGGAGGCAGCAGUGGGGAAUCUUGCGCAAUGGGCGAAAGCCUGACGCAGCGACGCGCGUGAGGGAUGACGGCCUGUGUAC
rnacentral:rRNA from 1 species